rnacentral:lncRNA from 1 species
AGAACCGAGAAUAGUAAAAGCAAGAGUGUUAAUCUGAGAGAGAGUGUACUUGAAGGUCCUUCGAGGUUGAUUAUAUAGAGCAAUGUUCAGCAUCGAAAUAAGACGAAUGUGCACCUUAAUGGCUUGGCGGGUAAUAACUACAAGCAUCUUACGCAUGUUAUGGUGGUUAAUUGCGUCGAUAAUGCGAUAACCACUCGAACAUACAAGAUAACUAUCCAGUAUCACACCUUAUAAGUAUGUUAGAUCACCACUAUCUUUUUAAUAGGCUUUAACCGCCUUAAGUAUAUUUUAAUUCGAAGACACAUGGCUCGUUGUUGUCGGUUAUCUGUGCAGAUCGGCAGCUCGGUUGACUAUUUAUAUCGGCAACUCAGUCGACUGCUCAG